rnacentral:rRNA from 1 species
AGCUGAGUUUGAUCCUGGCUCAGAUUGAACGCUGGCGGUAUGCCUUACACAUGCAAGUCGAACGGUAGAGGGGCAACCCUUGAGAGUGGCGAACGGGUGAGUAAUACAUCGGAACGUGCCCAGUCGUGGGGGAUAACGUAGCGAAAGCUACGCUAAUACCGCAUACGACCUGAGGGUGAAGCGGGGACGUCGGCAAGAGCCUCGCGCGAUUGGAGCGGCCGAUGGCAGAUUAGGUAGUUGGUAGGGGUAAACGGCCCACCAACGCCUGCGAUCUGUAGCUGGUCUGAGAGGACGACCAGCCACACGUGGGACUGAGACACGGCCCAGA